rnacentral:lncRNA from 1 species
GCAUGAGGCAACGUAUUCUCAUCAAGAUGCAAUGACAUGGAAUAGAACGAUUGGUUCCUUAAGUAUCUCAACACUUCCAAUCACAACAAUCAAUAAUGAAGGAGUAAUGAAAAAAGUGUGAGAAUACAACUUAAAGUACCGAACCAUAUAAUACAUCAAACCUUUACCGGACCAAACUUCCAAGUGUUCACAAGAUAGAAACAAGGACUAACACCGAAAAUUACUCAAUAAAGCAUAAACAAGGUUUGAUAGAAUAGGGAACUAUUUUUUUUAAUUUUUUUUAAUAAUUUUUUUUAAUUUUUUUUUAUAUUAACAAAACAAAACAAAAAGACUAGUAGUCUCUUCCCCCAAUCAAGUCAUGCAAUGUCCCCAUGCCAAUGAAAGCAAAGCAUGGAUGCAAUUAAAUGAUAGGAGAAGAAAAAAAUAGGAUGCUAAGCACUCCCAAUUUGAAUAUGAGAAGAAAAAAAACUAAGAAAACAAAAAAAAAAACAAAAUAACUACUAACUACUUUACCACAAAUUAGAGAGAGAUCACACAAUGCCACAAAGUGGGACUUGGCCAUCAUCCACAACCCGACUUUAUUAGUUUCAAAGAGUUCCAACAAGAUAAGAAUAAACAAUGGCAUUGCUUGAUGAACUUAAUGAUAUAACAUUUAAGCACAGAGGGUAAAAAAGGGUCAGGAAUGUAAAGAAUGCAAAAUGAUCAUGCACAAUGUGCCAAUGAUGCCCAUGCCCUGAAGUGAUUGACCAUCCCUUCUUUAGUGGUCGGCCAUAAAAAUGAGUUUUGGUUCCAAUGUUGGGACAGGAGCUCAGAGGCCUUCGGUAGGUUAGAUUAGGGCUAGAGUUCAAAAGUAGAGAGUUCAAUGGAUCCCUAGACAUGGUAGGAAUACUCUAGACCAUGAAAACAUCUCUUUGACAAGGCACAUCCCCAACAUCUAAUAAACCAAAAUCAUCAUAAGGGUAAUCUCAGUACUACCCUUCUCUUCUUGUUUGGAGUCCCUAAUUUUCGGACUCCUCUCUCUCAUUACUCUUCAUCCCGAGAUUCAUUUGCAAUAAUUUCUCACUUACCUUCAGAACUGUCUUCAUUAGACUCUAAGUCAUUGGGGAAGGCUGGGUUUGGUCAAUGUAUCCUCAUUCCUAGGUUAGUAACGGGAUGAACGGGUUCACUUAGGAAAAUCCUGACUGAUGGAGAUGGUAUAGGGAAUUGUCUUCCACGUGAAAAAACCAAGAUGCAUUAAAAGGUCCAAUGACUUUGUAUCUCAUUCUGCUCUCAUUACUCCAGAGUUCACUCCUUCUUGAUUUUCAAAAGCUCCUCUAAAAUAUCCUUCUAUGUGUCCUCUUGUGUAUAGUGUGAGGAAUGUGAUAUGCAUAUAAGGUGAAAAUUGGCUUGGGGGUAUUCACAUGGUGGAGGGUGGUAGGGCUAGAGGGGGUGCAUCGUUACUAGUCAAAAAGGGCUCUUGGUAAGAGUGCGGCCAAAAUAGACUGAAUAUGUGUUGUCAUAUCCCAUACCAAGGUUAGAUUGAUUAUACACCCAAGAUUGGAGGUGAGUAAGAGGCUCCCUUUGGCCAUUAGCUCUAAGGUGUUUCCUAAGAGACAUGUUACCACCAAACAUAAUGAAGUGCACAUUAGAAGAUGGAUGCAAUGCACAAAAAAAUAUAGCGCACCACACCUCAACACACAUACACAACCAAUGCUCAGCAUUUUCAUCCAAACCUCCAAAUCUUGCAUAAUAAAUUCCACCAAGGUAAGCAACAAUCCAACCAACCUCCAAGGUCCAGAAGAGGGAGACCACCAAGGGCAAGUGAAAGACAAUCACUAAUUCUCCUCUAGCAAUUCCUCCAAUCCAUUAUUUAAUAAAACAAAAAAAAAAACUUAUUACAAUCCAACAAAAAAAACCUCAAAGAAAGAGAAAAAAGACAAGAAAACCAAAAUCUAUCACGGUACACACACGAAAAAAAAAAAAAGGAACAAAGUUACAAUGACUAAGCCGAAAGAGUCCUUUUCCCCCCGUCGUUGUAGAUGAUGGGAGACUCAAUCCACCCCAAUGACUUUUCAAUCAAGGCUUGUUAAGUACUCGCCUCGUGCCUUGGGGUCCCCGGCAACGGUGGCCAAAAAUUGAUUCGCCCCCAAAGGUAACUCUAUUUCAGGCAAGUGCAAGGUGCUGACGGUUUUGUAGUAGUUUUAUUCGGGAAGGUCUGAAUCAUAUUUCCUCAGGACGCAGCAAAUAGGCUAAUUGACCACUAAAACUCACCCCUAAAGCUAAACAUGGUUAAUUAGGAAAUUAUGUGAAUAUUAAACUCUAAAAUUACAAAGAAAAAAAUAAAAGAGACCCAAAAAUCUUUUGGUGUUUGAUGGAGUGUUUUAAAUACUAAAACUAUUGCAAUUAAAAAUAAAAUUAAUUAAAAACUAGGAAUUUAAAAUAAAACAAAUUUAAAUUAAAGUUCUCGGGAUCAAUCGUUCCAAAACCGAUUUCGUAUUUCUGGGAUUCUAAAGGUGAUGAG